GGAGGGCCGGCUGCCCGGGGCUCGGGCUCAGCACGUGGCCCCGGACACCACGGGCCGGGCAGGAGCCGGCGCCUGGGGGGUCCCCACCCCGCGGCCAGGGCAGCUUCCAGUGCGAGAGUGCUCGGAGCCUCGGGUGCUUCUAAGUGGAAGGGAAGUCGUUUCUGCGGGAGAGAAGUGAGGCCUGCCAGACGCCAGGAGGCCUCCCCUCUCCCUGCCCUGCCAAGCGGCACACAGCCCGUCCCCGCAGGCGUGUCCUGGGGCUCCGGCGACAACGGCAGCAGACCGGGGGCUUAAACCACAGAAGUCUAUUUCCCACGGCCUGCAGGCUGGACGUCCAGGACCAGGGUGCGGAGGGCCGGUUCCCCUGGGGCCUCUCUCCCCUCGCCUCGCAGACGGCGUGUCCUCCCUGUGUCCUCACAGUGCCGUCCCUCUGUGCGUCUGUGUCCCCAGCUCCUCUUCGUACAAGGACACCAGUCUGAGUGUGUCGGGGCCGCCCUAACAGCCUCAUGGCGCCUUCAUCGCCUCUCUGAAGGGCCAUCUCCAAAUGCAGUGACAGUCUUGGGGGCUGGGGCAGGGCUGAGCGUAUGGACUUGGGGCAGGGGGCUCGAUUCGGGCCCCAGCAGCCCCCAGCAUCGCUCCCAUUUCCUCCUUCCCCCUGGGGGAGGCCCCCCCUCCGCCAGCAUCCUGCCGGCCGGAAGCUGCGGGGCCGGGCGCCCGUGUUCAGAGCGCAACCGGGCAGGGCGCAGGUCCCAGGGCCUCUGCUGUGGCUCCUACAAGCCUCCGUCCAUCCUGGGAACGCUCGUCCAGCACAUGCCGUGUGCAGGCCCGUGCCGGGCGCUGCGCCCCAGCAGGGAAGGGCCCGUGAAUUCUGGGAGUGGCAUCUUAUAUUAAUAGCUCCCAGAGCCCCGCCCACGGCCGCGUGUGGGGGUGUCCAGCCGACUCUUGUUGCCUGGUGGUCAGCGCAGGAGGCAGGUCUGACCAAGCGAUCGAGGCCAACGGAAACGGUCAUUCUUUCUGGAUCAAGGACUCUCCCGCUCUGAACAUCCCCUCGCCCACUUGCGGACCCACUGCGGGCAGCCCGUCCGGAAGCUGUUCUAUAAUUGACCGAAAUCAACUCGCUGUGCCAACUCCACGCAUCACACGUGCCCACGAAGGGGCAGGCCCCACUGGAGAGACAGCGAGGCACCGGGCUGCAUAUUGCCUUGGGAGGGUCUUGCUCUUAAGCAACCGUGGCCUGUUGGAGCAGAGGAAAAACUUACACACUAACAGCCAGCAUUUGUGGCACAUGAACUGGCUCCUGUGACCCUCCAACUGCCCUAUCAGUCAGGGUGAAGAGCUGCUCACCUGUUUCAGAAGUGGGGAAACAGCGGGGCUUACGGAUGGGAAGAACUCGCGCAGUGGCUGACACCUGCCCCAAAGCUUUGACGACAUUGAAGUCUAGAAGAAAUCACGGACAAGCGCCCCUCUGAGAAACACCAAACGCGUGAUGUGAACGCGCUCCUCACCGGCCUCACCUGAGACCCGGCGCUUCUGCAGUUCAUGCCCUUUUUCUUUUCCCACUUUCCUCCACGCUGGCGGUGGUCAGCGGGAGGCAGCCGGCCCCACCUCCAGGUGGCAAAUUCCAGCAGCAAACGAGACAGGGCACCGCUAAGCCGGUAUCCAGGGCAACAGAAGGUAAUUGAACCCUGGCCAAGUGCUUGGCUCUGUUGGAAUGUGCAGAAGUGAGAACACAUCACAUACAACAAGUGAGACCCCUGCCAAUGACUGUCAUUCUCAGGAUGCACUGGGCCGCAAGUAGCAGAAUGGCACAUCCACAGUGCCGUAGACACAUGGGGACUGUCUCUCUCCCAGCCCGGGAAGACUGGAGCUGUGUCGCUGCAGGGAGCCUCCACGGUUCCUACAGUCAGAGCCUGCACCUCUGCAGUUCUUGGCGCUCUGCUCAAGGUCACUAAUGGGCUGUGCAAAGGUGCAACCAGCCACCUCCUUCCGCCUGAGAUGGUGAGCGCUUAGCUUUCCAUCCUCCGGGGCAGCAGCAGCAAGGGGGUGAGCACCCAGGGGGCCAGGCUCACGUCUUGGUCCCAAGACGAGCGUGGUCCUGAGCCCGCCCAGGGUGCUGGGAGAGCCGGCCGGCGUACUUUCCUGCAUUCCUGCCUCCCCACCUCCCCGCCUGCAGCAUCUCUCACACUCGGUCCUGUUGAAACCUGCCCUGGCUGUGAGCGCUGGGUGUUUGCUUCCUCCCUGGGUGUUUGCCAGGUGGAAUUAUUUAUGGGCCUAAUGCACACACCGGUGGAGUUCUGACAAAGGCCACUGAAGGGAACAGCCUGUCUGUAACCCCAAAGCUUAGCAUGGGGUGAAAAGGCCUUGGACAAGGGCCUGAGGCUCCCUGGGGGUGGGGCAAGGGGAGGGGAGCAGGAAGGACUGCACAGCCGCUUCCCGGGGCAGCCAGAGGUGGCCAGAACAAACCCACUCCUGCCCCCCACCAUUCUCCAGGUGCCUUGGGCAGACUGCAGUGACCGGGGCUGAGGACCAGGGACACUGGGUACAAGAGCUAGGCCACAUGACUGGGGUCCCCAGCACACAGCCCAGGCCCAGGGUGUAGGAACAAGGGACUCUGGAGGCAGGCCGACCUGGUAGGGCUUAUGCCCUGGCGAUUCCUGGUGGGGACCAGGAUCUUAACCCCUCUGUGCCUCAGUUUCCCCACCUGACCAGUGGGCUUGCUGUGAGGCUUCAGCGCAGCAAUCCUGUGUAAUAGGUUGCUUGCAAAAACGGCCCCUCCCUGAGCCCACACCCCUUUGCAAUGUGGCUUUACAGGACUCUCCCCAGGAGGUGGAGUCUGCCCCACACCCUGGAAUCUGGGUGGGCCCGUGACCUGCGGGGGCCAAUAGCAUGCCCUGCAAGUGACGCCAUGCCCUUCCGAGCCUCCCAGCUUCUGCUGGUGGGAAAGCCAAGGCAGGCCCAGAGGAGUUAUGUAACGGCCGCUGGCGAGCGCAGAGGCCAGAGGGCUCGGCCCGCCCGACUGUCCGAGGUCAAAGGCCGACCGUGCACUUCCCGCAGAGCAGUGUCCCCGGCAGGGAAGUGGGCUGGCCGGAGAUGUGCAGGGACGACGUCACAUUCCUGUCUACCAGGGCAGGGUGGUCCAUGGGGGACCGAAUUCUGGGUCAGGGGAGUGCCCCGUACCGCAGGUGACCUUGGGUUACUAAGUGGGUACCAGCGGCACCUUCCAGUGUGUCCCUUCCAGUUUGCCGGAACAGCCUGACCUUGAACAGUGGCCCAGGGAUCCCCCUUUUCCGCCCACGGAAAGAGGCGGCGGGGGCCUGGGACGGCUGGAGUGCGUCUAGGGCUCUUUGCAUGUUUGUUUUUAAUUUACUUUUGCUCCAUGCCUUUCACCGAA